rnacentral:lncRNA from 1 species
CAACCUUAAUUGUGGGAGUGGUAGGGUGCUUUAGUAACUCUUCCUCUUCUUCUUUUAUCUCAAUCUCUUCUUUUUCUCUCUUUUCUUUCUCAUUCCAUUCUUUCAUCUUCUUCUCUUCAUACUCUCUUUUUCUUCCUCCUUUUUCUGUCUUCUUACUUGCACCUCUCUCUUUCUCUCUUUUCUCAUGCUCCUCUUUCUCCCUUUGUUCUUUCUUCCUUCUUUUGUCUUCCUCUUUUCUUCUCUUUAUCUUCCUUAAAUCCUUUUGGACCUUUUCUUGUUUUUUAUUAAAAGUUCUAAGCUCUUCUUCCAACUUAGCAAGGUACUCUUCUCUUUCAAUUCUUUCUUUUUC